rnacentral:rRNA from 1 species
GCUGGCGGCGUGCCUCAUACAUGCAAGUCGUGCGAGAAAGUUCCUGCUUGCAGGAGCGAGUAAAGCGGCGAACGGGUGCGUAACACGUGAGUAAUCUGCCCUUCAGCGGGGGAUAAGCCUUCGAAAGGGGGUCUAAUACCGCAUAACAUUAUUAGAUGACAUCAUCAUAUAAUCAAAGAUGGCCUCUACUUGUAAGCUAUCACUGAGGGAUGAGCUCGCGCUCCAUUAGCCUGUUGGUGGGGUAACGGCCUACCAAAGCUACGAUGGAUAGCCGGCCUGAGAGGGUGAACGGCCACACUGGGACUGAGAUACGGCCCAGACUCCUACGGGAGGCAGCAGUAGGGAAUAUUGCGCAAUGGACGAAAGUCUGACGCAGCAACGCCGCGUGCGGGAUGAAGCUCUUUGGAGCGUAAACCGCUGUCAGGAGGGACGAACGGUUAUGAUUAUAAUACGAUCAUAAUUUGACGGUACCUCCAAAGGAAGCUCCGGCUAACUCCGUGCCAGCAGCCGCGGUAAUACGGGGGGAGCAAGCGUUGUUCGGAAUUACUGGGCGUAAAGGGUGCGCAGGCGGGAAAGUAGGUUGGAUGUGAAAACCUC